CCUACGGGAGGCACCAGUGGGGAAUAUUGCACAAUGGGCGCAAGCCUGAUGCAGCCAUGCCGCGUGUAUGAAGAAGGCCUUCGGGUUGUAAAGUACUUUCAGCGGGGAGGAAGGCGGUGAGGUUAAUAACCUCACCGAUUGACGUUACCCGCAGAAGAAGCACCGGCUAACUCCGUGCCAGCAGCCGCGGUAAUACGGAGGGUGCAAGCGUUAAUCGGAAUUACUGGGCGUAAAGCGCACGCAGGCGGUCUGUCAAGUCGGAUGUGAAAUCCCCGGGCUCAACCUGGGAACUGCAUUCGAAACUGGCAGGCUAGAGUCUUGUAGAGGGGGGUAGAAUUCCAGGUGUAGCGGUGAAAUGCGUAGAGAUCUGGAGGAAUACCGGUGGCGAAGGCGGCCCCCUGGACAAAGACUGACGCUCAGGUGCGAAAGCGUGGGGAGCAAACAGGAUUAGAUACCCCAGUAGUC
rnacentral:rRNA from 1 species